rnacentral:rRNA from 1 species
UGGUUAAAAAGCUCGUAGUUGGAUCUCAACAGCCUUGAAGCGGUUAACUUUGUAGUUUUACUGCUUUAUAGGCUGUGCUUUUGCUGGAGGUUUAGGGGUGCUCUUGAUCGAGUGUCUCUGGAUGCCAGCAGGUUUACUUUGAAAAAAUUAGAGUGCUCAAAGCAGGCUAAAAUGCCUGAAUAUUCGUGCAUGGAAUAAUAGAAUAGGAUGUCGAUCCUAUUUUGUUGGUUUUCGGGACUCGACAUAAUGAUAAAUAGGGACAGUCGGGGGCAUUUGUAUUCAAACGACAGAGGUGAAAUUCUUGGACCGUUUGAAGACAGACUACUGCGAAAGCAUUUGCCAAGAAUGUUUUCAUUAAUCAAGAACGAAAGUUAGAGGUUCGAAGGCGAUUAGAUACCGCCCUAGUUCUAACCAUAAACGAUGCCAGCUAGCGAUCUGCCUGCGUUUUUACUGUAGACUGGGCAGGAAGCUUCCGGGAAACCAAAGCAUUUGGGUUCCAGGGGAAGUAUGGUUGCAAAGCUGAAACUUAAAGGAAUUGACGGAAGGGCACCACCAGGAGUGGAGCCUGUGGCUUAAUUUGACUCAACACGGGAAAUCUCACCAGGCCCGGACACUGGAAGGAUUGACAGAUUGAUAGCUCUU